UGCAAUUUUAUAAAAACUAAACAGUUCUUUUCAAAAGAAUUUCUCGUUUUAAUUACCUCAAAUAGAUGCCUAUUUGGUUUCCUAUCAGAAACAAAAUAAUUUAAAACCUGGUAGGAGGAGGACAAAUUUGUCGCACUCUCACCCACUGUUGUGCCAAAAGUAUUGGGUCACACCACCAAAUCAAUGAAUUCUGGUGUUCCAAUCACUUCCAUGGCUGCAGGUGUAUAAAGUUUGGUGUGGAGAAACUUAAUUGGCCUCUGCCUUCUUCAACAUCUUUCAGAUGAAUUAGAGCGAAGGCUGCAGUUUUGGUUUUCUCAUCUUACUAUGAUUACACUGCUAAACCUUUAAGUUAAAGUUGCUAUUCCUGGCAAUGGUAGGUCCAUCAACAAAUUAGACCAAAGAGAUUAAGAAUACGAUGUCAUCAAACUUCAUGUACAUGUAAAAGUAGACAGACAAAUACUUUUAGCAAUGUUGUAUAUAACUGUUAUUUCAACAAGCUUAAUUCUCACGCCACUCCUCUCUGCUCCCCCUCUUUGCCUGCAGGCCCAACAUCAGAGUUGAGGACGCUGUUAUCUACCUGCUUCAGCAGGUGCUCACCCACCUAGAGACCACCAGGAAUGCUGAAGCAAUGGGCAGCUGUGCAUCGCCUGGGGAGCAUCUUGGGUCUUGCUCAGGGACCCAGACUGGCAGUCUGAGGGACUCCAACUAGGGUACUUGCAGCGGUCCCAGAACGCAAGUGCUCUGCUCUAGUCUCACACUCCCUUUCACCUGAGUAUGGGGGCUGCAUCCUUUGAAAGACCAGUCUACGUAGGCCAGGUGGUCGCAAAAACCACAAAGGCCAGAGGUGAUCAGCUUUGAAUUUGGACCAGCCUUCACCAGCGGUUCCCGGCCUUACCUCAGCUCUUUUAACAACUUAAACACUAACAUUCAUAACUCUGUGAAACAAGUUUAAAUCCAUUCAUUUGUAGAGCAUAAUAACAA